rnacentral:rRNA from 1 species
GCCCGUACCGUAAACCGACACAGGUGGGUGGGAUGAGUAUUCUAAGGCGCGUGGAAGAACUCUCUUCAAGGAACUCUGCAAAAUAGCACCGUAUCUUCGGUAUAAGGUGUGCCUAACUUUGUGAAGGAUUUACUCCGUAAGCAUUGAAGGUUACAACAAAGAGUCCCUCCCGACUGUUUACCAAAAACACAGCACUCUGCUAACUCGUAAGAGGAUGUAUAGGGUGUGACGCCUGCCCGGUGCUCGAAGGUUAAUUGAUGACGUUAGCUCUGCGAAGCGUUUGAUCGAAGCCCGAGUAAACGGCGGCCGUAACUAUAACGGUCCUAAGGUAGCGAAAUUCCUUGUCGAUUAAAUAUCGACCUGCAUGAAUGGCGUAACGAGAUGGGAGCUGUCUCGAAGAGGGAUCCAGUGAAAUUGUAGUGGAGGUGAAAAUUCCUCCUACCCGCGGCAAGACGGAAAGACCCCGUGGACCUUUACUACAGCUUGACACUGCUAUUGGGAUAAAAAUGUGCAGGAUAGGUGGGAGGCUUUGAUCCAUAGACGCCAGUUUAUGGUGAGCCGUUGUUGAGAUACCACUCUUUUUUAUUCUGAUAGCUAACUAGCUUGAGUUAUCCUCAAGUAGGACAAUGUCUGGUGGGUAGUUUGACUGGGGCGGUCGCCUCCCAAAAUGUAACGGAGGCUUACAAAGGUUGGCUCAGAACGGUUGGAAAUCGUUCGUAGAGUAUAAAGGCAUAAGCCAGCUUAACUGCGAGACAUACACGUCAAGCAGAGACGAAAGUCGGUCUUAGUGAUCCGGUGGUUCUGUGUGGAAGGGCCAUCGCUCAAAGGAUAAAAGGUACCCCGGGGAUAACAGGCUGAUCUCCCCCAAGAGCUCACAUCGACGGGGAGGUUUGGCACCUCGAUGUCGGCUCAUCGCAUCCUGGGGCUGUAGUCGGUCCCAAGGGUUGGGCUGUUCGCCCAUUAAAGCGGUACGCGAGCUGGGUUCAGAACGUCGUGAGACAGUUCGGUCCCUAUCUGCCGUGGGCG